ACAACUUUCAACAACGGAUCUCUUGGCUCUCGCAUCGAUGAAGAACGCAGCGAAAUGCGAUACGUAAUGUGAAUNUGCAGAAUUCAGUGAAUCAUCGAAUCUUUGAACGCACCUUUGCGCCCCUUGGCAUUCCGAGGGGCACACCCGUUUGAGUGUC
rnacentral:rRNA from 1 species